UCGAGAUUUUGGCAGCGGUGUCCGUGA
rnacentral:sRNA from 1 species